UACGAAGGGGGCUAGCGUUGCUCGGAAUCACUGGGCGUAAAGGGUGUGUAGGCGGUUCUUUAAGUUUGGUGUGAAAUCUCCCGGCUCAACCGGGAGGGUGCGCCGAAUACUGAGGGACUAGAGUGUGGGAGAGGAAAGUGGAAUUCCUGGUGUAGCGGUGAAAUGCGUAGAUAUCAGGAGGAACACCGGUGGUGUAGACGGCUUUCUGGACCAUAACUGACGCUGAGACACGAAAGCGUGGGUAGCAAACAGG
rnacentral:rRNA from 1 species